rnacentral:misc_RNA from 1 species
GAUGAAGAACGCAGCGAAAUGCGAUAAGUAAUGUGAAUUGCAGAAUUCAGUGAAUCAUCGAAUCUUUGAACGCACAUUGCGCCCUGUGGUAUUCCGCAGGGCAUGCCUGUUCGAGCGUCAUUUCAACCCUCAAGCCUCGCUUGGUGUUGGGCCCUGCCCGCCGCGGCCGGCCCUAAAGAUAGUGGCGGCGCCGCCUGGCCCUCAGCGUAGUACAGCUCUCGCUCCAGGGUCCGGCGGCAGCCUGCCAGAACCCCCCAACUCUGUGGUUGACCUCGGAUCAGGUAGGGAUACCCGCUGAACUUAAGCAUAUCAAUAAGCGGAGGA